CCCGCCCCGCCGGGCACGGCCUGCGCCGCGGCCAGCGGGACCGGCCGGUCCCUCGCAAGCCCUGGGUCUUUCAGAAAUGUGUCAAAAUAUGCACCCAAGCUUUGAAAGACUCGCCGCUGGUAAAUACUGCUGAAAAUGUGAAGCCUACAGAUGCAGCAACAAGUAGAGUUGUUUGGAAAAGGAGCAAGUAAAGCGUUCCUAAAACUGCAAGACAUCUGGAGGAAUGCCUAGACAGGAACUGGACUGAGGUGGUAUUGUGGGAAGAAAUGGAAAUAAGACUGUGAAAAUGGAUUGAAGAAAUGGAGGAGCAAUAUUUGGGGAAAGGAGAAGAUAAGAAGUACAAGAUUCCAUUUGAUGCUUUUUUCCUACAGAAAGCAGUAAAAACCCUAUAAGCAAUCUCUUUUCACUCUCCAGUCUAUUGUUGAUACCAAAAUGACUCACAGGACUCAGGAUGUUUAAAGUGUACACACAAGAAACUGGAUGAAAAGCCACUUGUCAGAUAAGCUUGUUGCUUGUUAAUAUAGUUAUCUGCUGUCAGUCAGUUGUGGUUAGAGUCACAGCAGGGCCUGGUAUUACAGCAAGUCUAAAUGCAAGCACUUUUAGCAAAAAAAUUAGUUCAGAGAAUUAAUUGCAGAAUUUUGAAUCAGCUCUGCUUGGCAAAGAUCUCUCACAGUCUCCUUAAAGACAGAAGUGGUCUGCAAAUGCAUCAGAACAGAAGCUACUGCUUUUGCCCUGUUGAUAAUACCUCACUGGUAUUAUCGUUAUCUGCACCAUCUGACACUGUGCAUUUUUCUCACUCAGAUUAGGAAAGACUCACGGAACUGAACCAGAGAAGGAGGGCAAUAUGAUGGGGGGAUAAUGAUGCAUAGCAAGAUUUGUUCUUUCAUGUCCCAAGUUAGAAACCUAAUGUGCUGUCCUGUGAUACAUCCAAUCUGCCUCUGACCAUCUAAGAACAUGCCUUACUCACUGCUGUGACUGCUUGUCAAGUUUCAUGCUCCAUGAGAUUAUGGGGUGAGAGUGAGUUACGUCGCUCCCAGCCAGGAGUGUUCACUCCAAGAUGACUCAUUUGCAGACACAUCACGGUUUUGAUGUGCGUGGCACACAGUUGCAGUAACAUUUUUAUGCACCUGUAUUGUGUAAUAUUCAGCUGCCCCCUUUUCUUGUAGGUCCUCCCCAAAAUGUGGUUCUGGCUGGCAAGAUUUUGUUUCAUAAAUGAUGGGAAGAGUGCAGGUUACAGGCAAGGUACAGCUUGGUUUAGGAUGAUGAUGUGAGAUUUGUACACUUGGAUACUCUCCAGGGACAUCAUUGUUACCUUGGUUACAUACUUCCCAUUUUCACAUUUAAUGAAUGAAAAUAUAAUCCAAUAAUAGCAAAGUUCA